UACGAGGGGCCCAAACGUUAUUCGGAAUUACUGGGCUUAAAGAGUUCGUAGGCGGCAUGAAAAGCAGGGUGUGAAAGCCCUCGGCUCAACCGAGGAAUUGCGCUCUGAACUGUCGUGCUUGAGGAACCUAGAGGUGAGCAGAACAGAUGGUGGAGCGGUGAAAUGCGUUGAUAUCAUCUGGAAUACCGGAGGCGAAGGCGGCUCACUGGGGGUUUUCUGACGCUGAGGAACGAAAGCCAGGGUAGCGAACGGG
rnacentral:rRNA from 1 species